rnacentral:sRNA from 12 species
GCUGUGGAGUGUCAUACAAACCUGAGUAGCUUCGGCAAAAGGGGACACGAUGAAGCAGUGA